UACGUAGGGUCCAAGCGUUAUCCGGAAUCACUGGGCGUAAAGCGUGCGUAGGUGGAUAGUUAAGUGCAGUAUUAAAUCCCGUGGCUCAACCAUGUGGCUGUAAUGCAUACUGGCUAUCUAGAGGACAUGAGAGGCAAGUGGAAUUACUGGUGUAGCAGUGAAAUGCGUAGAUAUCAGUAGGAACACCAAUGGCGAAGGCAGCUUGCUGGCAUGUAUCUGACGCUAAGGCACGAAAGCGUGGGGAGCGAACAGG
rnacentral:rRNA from 1 species